rnacentral:lncRNA from 1 species
UAAUAUAAUUAAUGUAUAUUUUAUUAAACCAAUUCGUUCAAAAAAAUACAAGUGUACAUAGACAAAAAUACUACACUUAUGACACUAAAUACAACAGAUCAUCCUUACCUCUCGGCCACCAUCCCAUCAACCAUGCUCAACAUACAACUCCCUUUCUCAACCAGAAUCCCAUCAUACCUAAGCUUUUAAACUAGAAGUCGUCAAACAAUCCCACUAUCAACAAGACACUCACCAUCCUUACCAAACCCAAAAUAAAACCAAAAAAGAAAAAAAAAAGAUAUGCUUAGGCCUAAACAUGAAACUUGAAAAUAAAAAAUAAGUGAGUCAAACCAAAAAAAAUAAAAGAGAGAGGAGAAACUAAAAAAGAAAAAGAAAGAGAGAGGGAGAGAGAGAGCUUUGAAGCUUGUGGUGUUGGAGAGGCUUUGGACCUCUAUUGCGAAAUCUAAAUGGUGGUAAGGCUCAUCAAGAUGAAAUGAGGUGGUGGUCUAAGUGCCAAGCUCGGUUUGACAAUGAAGAAGGUUAGGUCUAAGUUCAUUCGUCCAUGUGGUGAACCUAAUUUUGGGUGUUUUAUCUAGAGGUUUGAACUGAAAAAGAAAGAGGAGAAGGAUGAGCCUCAUUUUAGAGUGAGAACUAAGGACACUAGAUGAUGAGGAAGAAUGAUGAAGGUAGUGGCUUGGCUUUGUUGAAGAAAAAGAAGAAGAAGAAAGAUAAAAAGAAAAGCAAAAGAAAAAAAGUGAAAGGGAGGAAAAACAAAAGAAAAGAAAAGAUAGGAAAGGGAAUAAAAAGAAAACAAAUAUGAAAAAAAAAAUAAAGUGGCGAGACCCAUUACAUGAAGAAAGGAGUGGGAGGAAAG